UUUGCAAUUGCAGUUCCAGUUCUCCAGCACGCAAUGGCCACAAGGACGAGCUGUGUUCGCCGUCGACUCGAUUGAUUACGAUGGAUGUGCACUACCAGCAAGGUAUAAUAACUGCACCAACGAAGAAUUCAGCUGUGCCAAUGGAGCCUGUGUGAACAAACAUGAGCGUUGCAACUACGUUGAUGACUGCGGUGACAACAGCGACGAACAAGGAUGCUGGGACCACCGACUUGGAUGCAACUUCGACACAUCUUUCUGUGAUUGGGUUCCUAGUGCACCGUGGGACCGCGAUCUUGAUACAUGGGUCUUGAAGCAUCCUGGACCGUCCCUUUCUAGUUCACCGACUAGAGAC
rnacentral:lncRNA from 1 species